GAGGAUGUGAAUGACGAAUUCCAUCGGUGUGUAAUCGUCAUUCAAAAGCAGAACGCGGUACAAACUC
rnacentral:sRNA from 1 species